GUAAAGGUAACUCAACCGGCAGAGUACCGGUCUUUUAAACCGGGAGUUGUGGGUUCAAAUCCCUCCCUUUACA
rnacentral:tRNA from 1 species